AGGGUAAACUAUGAUCAGUUGGAUGCCUUAUGUAGCAUCAGUGGGCUACAAAACAGGAAGACUCCACACACUACUGAAGAAGCUCAUCAAAAGUUUAUGAAACUUUAUCCCAAAAUAUUCUACCAAGAAAAGACUGUAUUGCCAGGAAUUCCUCCAACACUCUCAAAGAGGGUACUUUCCAGUGAAUCAGUGAAUGGAAGUAAAGUAGACCAAAUGUCUCACAAUAUAGGUAUUUACGUUAAAAAGAUCAAAAAUCCCAAGAAGGUGUGGCGUGAAUCUCCUGAGUUCAAGGAGAAGAUGAAUAUUCUAAUAAGGAUAUUGAGAAAAAUGUAAGUAUUAUGAUCAGUCUUUUUGCCUUUAUUUCAACUAGUUUAGGAACAGGACAUCUUCAAAACAUGGCUUUAAUUAUGAGAAAAUAUCAAAUCUUUUGUUAGGAUAAUAAAUUUGGAAUUAAUCUGACUUGCA
rnacentral:lncRNA from 1 species